GAGCGCUGCGGGAGAGCCCGGUGAUGUCCCGGCUUCGUCCCCUUGCAACCCGCCACCCCUCGGUCUUACCAUCCUUCCCUCCCUCUGCUGCCCUGCUCAUCCACAGAACGAGCCCUGACCUGCCACGCAGGAAUGAUGCAGGAUGCAGCAGGGAACAUACCAAAAGAAUAGUGAAAAUAGUAAAAAGUGACUAAUGGAAACCAGAGGCCACAUUACCCCUGUGGUACUGCCAGACGUGCUGGAGCAGAGUGCAGCACAGAAAAAAGUCUAGCAGGAAACAUCCAACCAGACUUCACCAGAGAAACCAUAAACAAAAGACUAUAAAGGCCUCAGCUGAAAUGAGUUCUUGCCAGCUGAGAUUCUUGUGAAGACACACGUGUCACCAAGGACUCCAACACCAAACUGUAGCCAAGAGACAUCUGAAAGUUAGGAGUAAGAGCCAGAGACUGACUUUCAGGUAAAUCAGGCUAUUGGUGAUAACACUGCUAAAAAACAAAUUAAUACAACUACCUUUGAAAUUAUGGGAGCAGGUGACUAAAAAUUAUAAAGCAAACACUGUUCCUACUUGGAGAAAAUCUCUGUUGGAGGCUGAUUUGCCUCAGUUCCACUGCUGGCUCUGUCAGGGCUCUGCUUGGAGCUCUGUGUAGGAGAGAUCUGUAAAUAUCUCUGAACAGAGAUUUAGUCUGGGCUUUGCUGCUGCAGUGGUUGAAAUUUAACAUUAUCUGAGGGUACACACAGCCAGGGAAGGGCUGCCAGACCCUCUUCCUCUGUUGCCUGAAAGGGCAUGUAUGAAACUGUCUGUCAGCUGCAGCAGAGUGGUUUGGGGACAAAUUUAAGUUGUGAAAGGGCUGUGGCUAAAAAGAAAAUUAUCAGCUUAUAAACCAGAAUAUGUGUAAUCACCUCUUUCAUAAGUGAAUUUACUGAACUCAUACACAGCAAAGGCCUCAUUAUUGAGCAUUUCUCUCCCAACAUUACAGUACAAGUAAGUUUUGUGUUUAAAAUACUCACUUUAGGAUUUUAAAGCCAGAGAGUAGCAAUAGUGCUGCACCGAAAUCUUUAAGGCAUUCGAAAUGAGAUUAUACUCAGCUUGCUCACAGAAAUGAGAAUAGCUCUUGUUUUUCUUUCAGAAGUUGUAAACUGGUGCCAGACUCUAUGUAUGUGUGAUGCUUUUGAGAAUUCAGGAUGGACACUCAGGAUUUAACAUCCAUUUUUCAUUAAUCCAAACAUAGCACACUCCAUUUAAAUGCUGCCUUUUCUUCUGCAGAAAAGAAGAUGUCCACAUUGCACUUAUUAAACUUUAAUUAAACUAUAUGUCUAGGAAAAGAAUCCUUCUACUGUAAGCAAUAUGUGGGCCAGCUAUAUUGAAGUAUUUAAAGUUUUGGUAAGAUGUUUGCAUUUUAAUCUGUUUUUGGGGCCCUGUCUGCAACCUGAAUUUCAAUCCCAUUGCCUUGAUAACAGGGUUUUCUCCAGGUUGUGUGUUCUUAAAGUGAUAAUAUAUAAAGUGAAGACAAUUAAAGGGCAAAUCUUGUAGUCUGAAUAACAGUUUUUCAUUUGAAUGUAAUAAAUCAUAAUGCACAGUACUCAUUAGAAAGUUGUUUGUUAGUUUGUUUAGUCUUAGCACCAUCUUUUUCAGGGUAAGAUGUUGGCUUAGCAGAUCCCAGAUCCAUGCAGCACAGCUCUUCCAUGAAGUAACUUCUCCAGGAGCACAGUAGUUAUUCCUAGAACUUGAACCACCUCUCUCAGGCAUUCUGCACCACAGAAUCUCUGAGGGGGGCAAGGAGACUUUGAGCCAUUAUUUUUACUUCAGCUCUGUGCCUGAAAUGGCUCAGAACCCAGAGAGAAGAACUAAUGGGAGCACGGUGUGCCCUCCCUUAGCACCUAAGAGCAGCACUUCCUCUGUUUGAUGGAGUAAAUAAAGGAAUAGGCUGUAGCUUCUCACACUGGGAAUAUUAAUUCUAUAUAAAGAAUUCAUUUUGGCCUUUCCAUUAAGCCAGAAGAGACAGAAUUUCCCCCCUCACUUCAGAAGAAUGCUGUGCUGUUGUCAAUGUUGAGGCAGAUUAUUAGGAAGAUUUGCAAGAAUAACUACUUAAAAUGGUCACAUUCAUUUUAAAGAAAAGAAAUAUAAUUGGUAUUUGCAUAGAAGAAAAUGGAUGAAUUUAAAUUUUAGUUGAUUAUAAUUAUUGUCAUCAUAAUCAUCAUCAUUAUCUUUGUAUGUCUAAAUGACUGAUUCAAAGAAGAAUUUUUAACACAUUUCACAUGUCAGUGCAAUUCUUUUCUGUUUUGUGCUUUAGUGCUUGGGGUUUUUCAUUUGCUUUUUUCAGUCUGAACUUUUCAUGGAAGCUAUUGUAAUUUUCUUAAAAGGUGGAAAAAUGUUUCAAAAGAAGUCAGAUCUAGAAGUACUACAUACAUCCUUCUUUGCUUCCAAUAAAAUGUAGUCAAAUUGUACAGAAAAACAGGUACAUAAAUACUGUGGGAUGGCACUUUAAAAUAUUCCAAAGAAAGAGAUUUUAAAUAGUGAGGUGCUACCUAAAUGUGGCAUUUUGAGCCAGACAAGGGAUGUUAAACAGCAAUAGUUGCACACAAAUCAGUAGAUGAACUAAUUUAAGUGGUAGUGCCUCCAGGUGAGGGUAGCAUUCAAAAAGUCCAUUAAUGAAUUGGGACUGUAUGUAGACACUGAGCUCCUAAAGAUUUCCAAAGUUCCUAAUAAUUGUUUGUAUUUCAGCACUAUGGAUACUGAUCCAUCUGGGAUUUAAUUCUGUAUUCCCUGGUAAUGUUGCUACAGUAAACUGUGUGUCUAUUCAACUAGUAAAUCUAUAUUGUGUGAGUUUGUCAGUAUUGGCAGUUAUGAACAGUUGAGAUCCACAAUAUUUGUUGGUGAAAGCAGUUUCCUUUUUCCAGAGUUUAUAUCACAUCAAACCAGAGAUGAUCAAUCAAGACUACAAAGGCUGUAUACUGUGCAUAGCAAAAUAAAAGUUUCAUAAUUCCCAUUUCCCUGAUGACUUCGAAAUGACUAUGAAUAGCAUUUUGCAACAGAGGAUCAUCAGAGCUGGUGUGAUAGCUGCAAUUCCUGAUACCUGGCAUCUGUGAAAAACAGGGCUUGAUCCUCCAGAACUUAAUCUUUCAUUUUAUUUUGUUCCUUUAGUCUUCCAUGAGGGCCAGUGAACCAAGUGUUAAAAUCCUGUUUCUGAACAGAGUUACUGUGACUUGUGGAAACAAUUGCUCUCUGAAGCCUUGCAGAUGGCAGUUUCCUGAUAGCCUCUUUUCAGAUGGCUUCCUGCAUGACCAGGAAUUCCCUAAAUAGGAAUUGGGAAGAUGGAUUCCAUGGGAGGCAUUACUUGUCUUUGUUCAAUUAAGUUAUGGUGUCUUUCCUGUUUUCUUGGGAUGAACAGAAUCACGUUCAUGCCACUACACAGAAAGAUACCUUAAAAAACACAUUUGGAGCUGUGAAAAAUCACAGAUGAGCUGCCUCUGCCCAAGAGAUGGACUGAAAAGAGCCUGUUGGAAGGAUUUCCCUGAGUGGCUGCUUGUAAUAUUUUGGCAUUUAGGAAAAAAAAAUGGAGGAAUUGUCAGAUGGACUGAUGACUGAUGAGCUGCAGCACAGCCAUGGAAAUCCUCUGGCCAAAAGACAGACUUUCAAGUUUCCUCACUAUGUCCAGGAAUUGGAAUUUUUAACAUGAAUUUUGUAUGGAAAAGAAUUGCACUGAAAGAUGCUGGAUUCAAAUAAGUUUCAAUUAAUGGAAAAUAUCAGCAAACCCAGGAUUCCUGGCUAAUUUCAUGCACUGAAGUGAUCACAGUGUGUUCAAUCAACAUUGAUUAUUAAAAUAGCAAAGAAAAUUGGUGUCUGAAGUCCUAUCACUCUAAGGAAAACCUUUUUAUUUUCAUAUUGAUCAUAUAAAAUAAACCACUGUCUAAAACAGAACACUCAGUUCCAUUUUUAAAAUUGAAACUAUAUCGUAUAUUUACAUUUUAGGGAAAAAUAUUUACACUGCAAAGUCUCUAUUAAACCUUGCUUUAUUCUAUAUUCAUAGACCUUGUGGGGAAAAAUAGGGAAGAUCUUGUCAUAUUUAAAAUCAUAAUGGAAUCUAAUUGUAAGACAUCCAUUUAGAAAAAAUUUGGAAGAAAUACUUUCAGUUUACGGUGCUCCUCAAUGCAAAAUACUCUAAAAUUCAUAAUACUAAUGAAAGAUAUCAGUGAUGGUUUCCCAGGGUACUAACAGGUUUUAACAUUAUAAAUAUGGGCAAGGAGAAUUUAAAAAAAAACUCCAGGAUGGUUAUGCAUUAAAUAAUUAUGAUCACAGGUGUUCCAACCUGUACCUUCAAUUCAUGGCCUGAUCAUCCUUAUGCCUCCACAAGUCACUGGUAAUUCCAUCAGAAAGGCAAUGAAGUUAAAGUAUAUAAAACCAGGUUUAUGUAGGAUUACAUAUAUUUUUCUGGGUUAUCAAUAUUUGUCACAUCAACCUUGAUGUGAAAGUAAGAAAGAGGAAAAAUAGGUAGAUACAGUCAAUAAUGUCUCCUGAAGAUGAAGAAAGGCGCUGCUUCUUUCAUUUGACUUUAUCCAAAAGCUCAGAGGACAUACUGAGACACAGAGAUUGGUCAAGUUAAAAACAAAACCUGCUCUUAAAUAUUUGAUUCUGAUCUCAGUCUGAGUUGCUUUGACUGAGAUUCAGACAGACUCAAUUCUACUGUGGAUUCAGCCUACCCAGCUCAGGCUUUGUGACAGGUAAAAUUGCAGAAUGAGUUCUCAGUGAGACCUUUCCCUCCACUUCCUAUAAAGAACUAUGGAGUAUCCUGGAGCUAAUUUUGUUCAAUACUUACUUUUAUUAAAAAAAAAUAAAAUUAGGUUCAUAGUAUUUUCUUCAGCUUCCACCAGAGCUGUGAGAAGAGUGACCCAAGAGUUGGCAGAGUGGCAAGAAGGCCUCAGGACCAGGCUCACUCCUCAGGGAGUUGAAAAAUGGAUGAGAAUUCAGAGGCUUUUGCAAGGUAACAUAAUGAACAGCAGCACAAAGCUAAGAUACAUCACAUUAGUGUGGCUUCCAAGAAAGAUUACAGACCCAAUAGUCCAGAUACUUCCAUGUAAGAACAUCACAGCCAAAAAAGGCUUAAUCUGACCUUUUAAUGAGCACUUAGCAGGGAAUUCCUUUGUAUAUACAGAGGCCUGAGACAGAAAAAUGGAUACAGAAAUGCAUGUGGAUGCCUGGUUCUUCUGUAGAGCUUUAAUUGUUUUGCAUGUUAGAAUCUUCCCAACUGUAUCAGGAAGAAGGGAUCUGCUCUUACUUUUUCUAGAAAGCUAGACAGGAUUUUCUGAAAUCCUAAAGAAGCAAAAUCCACUCCAGUCCUUGUUACUUGCUGCCAUUAAGGGUUGAAACGCAGCAUUUGCCAAGAGUGCAAGUUCCUUUAUUUGAUCCCCUUGACUGUACCAGUAUAACUGCCAAUCACAGGAAAUACCUCUAAUAACUCUUCCUUUUACUUAAUAAGGAAUACCACAUCUUUAAAACAUUAGAAACAGAUGUCACUGCAUUACUUCACUGCUGAUGUAUGUAAUAGAAAUGACACACUAAUUAAUUUAAUGCAGUAUAAAUGUACUGAUUAUUUAUCAUG